rnacentral:lncRNA from 1 species
GCCAGUUAAGACUAGUUCUGCUGUUGUAAUUUACAAGCAAGUCAGAUUGUGUAAAAUAACUCAUUUAAUAAAGUAGUGCUUUGAUUUUACAACACCACAGGAUAAAUGGUUCUAGAAAUUCUGUUCUAACUUUCCUUAUUAUUUGCCUUAUAAAAAUGAAUUGAUGAGCUAGUGUUGCAAGAGCAGUCCUCCCUUCUCAGCUCAGUGGCAGGCUUGUUAACUAGAGCAGGCUCAUUCAUUAAAUCGUGCACAUGAUUCUACAGCAGCUGAUGUAGGCUAAGGAAUGGCUGAGCUGCUGCUUCAGUAUUCACAGCUGCAUGUCAUUUCCUGUGUGUCCAUCUGGGAGUGCACUGUAGAUGACAG